ensembl:lncRNA
GCCUGCCAAUGUAGGAGGUGCAAGGGACGCGGAUUCAAUCCCUGGGUCAGAAAGAUCCCCUGGAGUAAGAAAUGGCACCCCACUCCAGUAUUCUUGCCUGGAAAAUUUCUUGGGCAGAGGGCCCUGGUGAGCUACUGUCAAUGGGGCUGAAAAGAGUCAGACAUGACUGAGCACACGCACACUCUCCUAUCCUGCACCCAGGUUCUCUGGAACGGAAGGCAGCCCUGCCGACACCUUGACUAGCCUGUAAGAAUCUAAGACAACAACUGGAUACGCCACGCUGUACCUGGACUUCUGAUUUUACAGAACUGUAAAUAGUAAAUGAGUGUUUAUUACCUCAAGACUACAAGUCUGUGGGACUUCCUUGGUGGUCCAGUGGCUAAGAGUCCAUGCUCCCAAUGCAAGAAGCUUGGGUUUGAUCCCUGGUGGGGGAACCAGAACUCACAAGCCCCAUCUAAGAGUUUGCAUGCUGCAGCUAAAGAUCUUGCAUACCGCAGUGAAGAUCGAAGCUCCCAUGUGCCACAUUACGACUCAGCAUAGCCCAAUAAGUAAAUAAAGAAAUAAAAAUUUUUAAAAAUCAGUUGUCCACAACUGAUUGUUGUGGACACAACUGAUCCAUUUUGAAAGCUGGAAGCCCAGGGUGCUGCAG